rfam:Triticum urartu cultivar G1812 contig1054815, whole genome shotgun sequence.
UAAUUACUCCCUUCGUCCGGAAAUACUUGUCUAAAGAAUGAAUGUAUCUAGAUGUAUAUUAGUUUUAGAUACACCCAUUUGUAUCCAUUUCUAUGACAAGUAUUUCUGAACAAAGGGGGUAUUUU